rnacentral:tRNA from 1 species
CGGAUCAUAGCUCAGCCUGGCAGAGCGCUGCGUUCGGGACGCAGAGGUCGUGGGUUCGAAUCCCGCUGAUCCGACCA